GUACGUUCACCCUGGCGACAGGGCGCAUGACUCGCUGUCACGGAACGGGGACAGCAU
rnacentral:ncRNA from 2 species